rnacentral:rRNA from 1 species
AUUGAACGCUGGCGGCAGGCUUAACACAUGCAAGUCGAGCGGAGAUGAGGUGCUUGCACCUUAUCUUAGCGGCGGACGGGUGAGUAAUGCUUAGGAAUCUGCCUAUUAGUGGGGGACAACAUUCCGAAAGGGAUGCUAAUACCGCAUACGUCCUACGGGAGAAAGCAGGGGAUCUUCGGACCUUGCGCUAAUAGAUGAGCCUAAGUCGGAUUAGCUAGUUGGUGGGGUAAAGGCCUACCAAGGCGACGAUCUGUAGCGGGUCUGAGAGGAUGAUCCGACACACUGGGACUGAGACACGGCCCAGACUCCUACGGGAGGCAG